UAGUUCGAUCCUGGCUCAGGAUGAACGCUGGCGGCAUGCCUAAUACAUGCAAGUCGAACGGAGUGAAGCCUUCGGGUUUCAUUCAGUGGCGAACGGGUGAGUAAUACGCAGGGAACCUGGCCAUGGCAGGGGGAUACACUCUGGAAACGGAGCAUAAGACCCCAUAGGCAGUAAGGCGGCAUCGCCUUACUGUUAAAGAAAGCUGAAAGGCUUUGGCGAUGGAUGGACCUGCGGUGCAUUAGCUUGUUGGUGAGGCAACGGCUUACCAAGGCGAUGAUGCAUAGCCGGCCUGAGAGGGCGGACGGCCACACUGGGACUGAGACACGGCCCAGACUCCUGCGGGAGGCAGCAGUAGGGAAUUUUCGUCAAUGGGCGCAAGCCUGAACGAGCAAUGCCGCGUGAGUGAGGAAGGUCUUCGGACUGUAAAGCUCUGUUGCCGGGGAAAAAGGGGAAAUGCAGGAAAUGGCAUUUCAUGGAUGGUACCCGGCCAGAAAGCCACGGCUAACUACGUGCCAGCAGCCGCGGUAAUACGUAGGUGGCGAGCGUUAUCCGGAAUGAUUGGGCGUAAAGGGUGCGCAGGCGGUCUGUUAAGUCUGAAGGCAAAGGGAUGAGCUCAACUCAUUUAUGAUUCAGAAACUGGCAGACUUGAGGACAGGAGAGGGCGGUGGAACUCCAUGUGUAGCGGUAAAAUGCGCAGAGAUAUGGAAGAACACCAGUGGCGAAGGCGGCCGCCUGGCCUGUGACUGACGCUGAGGCACGAAAGCGUGGGGAGCAAAUAGGAUUAGAUACCCUAGUAGUCCACGCCGUAAACGAUGAGGAGCAGGUGUUGGGAGUGAAAUCUCAGUGCCGAAGCCAACGCAGUGACUCCUCCGCCUGGGGAGUAUGCACGCAAGUGUGAAACUCAAAGGAAUUGACGGGGGCCCGCACAAGCGGUGGAGUAUGUGGUUUAAUUCGAAGCAACGCGAAGAACCUUACCAGGUUUUGACAUCGGAUGCGAAGGCGCAGAGAUGCGCUGGAGGCUAUCAUCCAGACAGGUGGUGCAUGGUUGUCGUCAGCUCGUGUCGUGAGAUGUUCAGUUAAGUCUGGCAACGAGCGCAACCCCCGUGGUAUGUUACUAACGCUUUAGGGCGAGGACUCAUAUCAGACUGCCGGUGACAAACCGGAGGAAGGCGGGGAUGACGUCAAAUCAUCAUGCCCCUUAUGACCUGGGCUACACACGUACUACAAUGGCGUCUACAGAGGGAAGCGACCCUGAGAAGGGAAGCGAAACCGGAAAAGGGCGUCCCAGUUCGGAUUGAAGUCUGCAACCCGACUUCAUGAAGAUGGAAUCGCUAGUAAUCGCGGAUCAGCAUGCCGCGGUGAAUACGUUCCCGGGCCUUGUACACACCGCCCGUCAAACCAUGGAAGCCGGCAACGCCCGAAGCCGGUGGCAUAACCUUUUAGGAGUGAGCCGUCGAAGGCGGGGCCGAUGACUGGGGUUAAGUCGUAACAAGGUAUCC
rnacentral:rRNA from 1 species